rnacentral:lncRNA from 10 species
GCAGAGCUUUCCGCUCGUCCCAGCUGCACCUCGGUCCUGCAGGCCGUCCGCCUGGCGCAGCUGUAGCCAUAGCAACUCACGCAGGACCGCGCUUUACAGUUUACCAGGCACUCGGACGCCUUUGGCGCGAGCGCCCGUCGCUCCUUCCUCAGGUCACUGCGGUGCACCGUGCGGGUCCGCGUCGUGUCCUCCGCUCCGGAGCAGGGACCGGGCGUGCUCGUUCAGUCCUGUGCGCACUCGGAAUGGGGCCGGGGAAGGCUGAGCCUCAGGGCGACCCUGAUGUGGAGCCGUGCGACCGCUCACUGCGGUUGAAGAGACCCAGGCGCAGACAGCGCAGGCGGGUGAUAAGGAGCGAAGCUGGGAGACCUGUUCUUCAGAGAUGAGCCCAACCAGGAAGUGAGAAACAAGGUUGUGGAUGAUGACACAAGUCUCCCUAGCAACAACUCUGCAGAGGCGCGCAAGCCCCUGGCCUUUGCUGCGUGAAGCGGGAAGUCAUCCAGCUGCCUAACGCCUGAGAGUCAGCAACCUCAAGGCCGAGGACUCACCAAGUGGGAGUGAGCAGAUACUUUCCUGAAUGCCUGAGCAAUGGUGAAACAGAGAGGUCUGAGCAAGGGAAGUAAAGGAUGGUGUAAAACAAUCCCAAGACAACUGGCAAAGCAACUGAAGUCACUGGAGGCUUUCUUUUUCCCCUCUCAUCCUGGAAAACUUACUGGCAGCUGAAAGAGACAGACUUAUCUUCUCUGAUGAUCUCGGAAGCCAGAUGACCUGGUCUGUCAGAAGGAAAGAAGACUGUCCACAGUGAGCUUCCUCCUUUCUCCCUGGGCAGUGUUUCCACACCAGAUGGAGAGGAGCAGGGAACACGCAACAAAGCCUGGGGCCCGGGCUCCCUGGACGUUCAUCCGUGCCCCUAGGCAUAUUGUGUUUUGUUUGGAGUAGUGGUCACGGUUAGUUUUAAUCCUGGGAUCCAGAAAGCAAAGCCUGCCACAUUUGCUUAUUUAUGAGUAUAGAGAGCAUCACUGAAAGCAUCUUCAACCUGACAAGCAUCAAUGAAAACAACUGCUGGAUUCAGAGGGAGACUUCCAGGUUUAUGCCUGAAAGCUAUAUUUCUUUGAUCAAAGGGAGCUGUAACAAUCACAAGGUCACUACCCAGCAUUAUUAUUUUUUUUUUUUUCUGAGGCAGAGUCUUGCUCUGUCACCCAGGCUGGAGUGCAAUAGCGCGAUCUUGGCUCACUGCAACCUCUGCCUCCUGGGUUCAAGCAGUUCUCCUGCCUCAGGCUCCCAAGCAGCUGGAAUUACAGGCAUGUGCCACCAUACCCGACUAAUUUUGUAUUUUUAGUAGAGACGGGGUUUCAUCAUAUUGGCCAGGCUGGUCUUGAACUCCUGAUCUCGUGAUCUGCCCGCCUCGGCCUCCCCAAGUGCUUGGAUUACAGGCGUGAGCCACUGUGCCCGGCCUGCCCGGCAUUAUCUUAAUCAUAACAAUGACCAUCAAGUUUAUCACCAGAAAGUGAAACACUCCCGCCUUGUGGAACAUUUGUGUAUGACAUGGCACUAAUUCCAACUGUACCACCACCAUCACUAAUGCCAAAAGCAGAACUGAGACACUCCUAGAAAAGAGCUUCCCUCCCAACAGAGAAAAAA